AAUCAUAGUUAUCUCUUGGAUUAUGAGCGAUCAUCUAAAACGAAUAUAAAUUUAGAUGCAAUACUAUAAAAAUAGUGCUGACGUGUAUAUAAUGUUCAAUAAAGUCCAUUUGCAGUAUUUCGUCAAGGUCGUGCAUCUGUCGGUGAUGUUGAGAAGGUUGGCCAAAACCGAUUGUUCAUUCGAUGCUGUGCGCAACAUGAUUAAAAAAGAUUGACAUGUGACUUACAGACAGAUAGCGGCGUCUCUUAGGAUAUCUCAGACUAAAAUACCAUCGAUUUUGCAUGAACAUUAUUGUGAAGAAGAAAAAUACGGGAUAAUGUCUCGUUGUUCGUAUUUGCCCUAUUUAUCUCCUAAUGACUUUUUUUUGUUUACCUCUGGCUGCAAAGAAAAGAUGCUCAGGCAGCUAUUUCAUCACCUUAAGAAGAAGAAGAAGAAUAUUUCGAAAAGCAAUAAAACACUAUUUGUAAAAACUUAAAAAUCAAUCCUUGUAAUAAUUCAUUACAUAAAAUAAUUGUAUACAAUUAUACUCCUCAGCAAAAUAGAUGAUGAAGAAAGAGCUUAUGUAAAUUGUUAGAAAUAUGUGCUAAAAUUGAUAAACGAUUACCAAUUACACCUCAAAAAUGCUUUAAUGAUUUAGUUUCGGGUUAUUAGGGUAUUAAUUUCGGAAUAAUUUUGGCUGGAUCUUGUGCGUUAACCAAAAUUGAGCACCAUGCCCGUUUGAGCUAUUAUAAAGUUAUAAACUGCUCUUCAUAGGAUUAGUGCACACUAUUUUCAAUGAUUUUAUCACACCAUUCAUCGUCAUCUUACAAUUCUGUUGUAUUCCACCAACUUUUCAUAUUACGGACAGAAUCAAAAGUAUUCAAAAGUUCACAUCAAAAAACUUUUAUAUAGAAAUAUUCAACACUAACAAAAUUAGGUUAGCAAAAAAAGUCAUCAAUAGUAUUCUUUUCGCUACAAUCAAUCGCACCUCCAAUAAUUCUUCACAUCAAAAUGAGUUUAUAAAACUUUAAAAACUAUAAAACUAUAAAACUAUAAAAAAAAUUAUUUGAAGGACUGUUUGUCUUGUUGAGAAUCAAAUGAGUUGAGAAACGAGUAUAUUAAUUUAUUUACGGUAAGUAACUUACCCAAAUUUACAAGAAGUCUAAAUAAGAUUGAAAUUGUGGUCGUCCUUUAUUCAAAUAUCAAAUUGCGAUAUUUAAUAUUCUUAUAUUGUAGCGAUAUGAUAAUAAUGAACUUAAAAAAUUGUUUAGGAAUACACUUUCGAAACAAAUCAAUGAAUAUCCGUGGUCAUAUAAAAUGUAACCGUAUCAACUUGUACCUGUACGCUCGUGUUAAACAAGGAUGUACAAUUAUUAUUUUUUAUCUCUGUAUAAGUAUUAAUUAACUUAGUAACUCAAAUUGAUCAAUUAAAACAUCUCUUUAUUGAAAACGCUCUUCAAAUUAACAUUCUAUCAUAAAUUAUAUUGAAAAUGUGCUAUAACUUAAGUGAUUUAUUCAUACCUAUACCUAGAUAAUUGCUUGUGACUUGAUUUUUAAUAUCUCUGUAGAGAAAAUAUCGACAUAAUUUUUUACCAGCGAAGGUAUAAAUUACGUUUACUUCCGCAGUUCACUUGAGAAGAAAUAUGAGGAAUUACAUUAAUAAUUUCAAGGGCGUUCGCAGAUCAUUACUCAAGAGAAAACAAAAUCACUGUCAUGUGUUCUCAUAUUCUUUAUAAUAAAUAAAUGAUGAUUAGUUUUGGGUGGAUUUAUAAAUUUAUUUCCGAACAAGAUCACUGCUGAUUAGUUAAUUUUCAAAUUUCUCUGUUAUCUCUAGAAUAAUAUAAGUGGAGGUAUAUGCGGUAACACUUAAUCAGUUAUUAACUACAAAAAUUAGAAACUAAGACCAAAUUUGAUAUCCUACUACAGAAAUUACGAAACAACACAUACAAGAACUGACGUCAGAAACAUAAAAUGUCUAAAAUCUUUCUGGCAAUGUUUUUCCGAACAUUCUUGUAAAGCUGAUGUAAUUGUCAUCUAUGCUAUGGAAAUUAAAAAAGUCUUUUUAAGAGAAUUAUUUUAUUUAUAUUUAAAUUAAUCACCACCUUAAGCAAUGCUCUUGUAACAGAAGAAUUCACAACUUAAAAGCUUCAAAGCAGUAAUCUUUUGGAAUAGUCUGAAAAAAUUGAUGAUUUGCUUCAUCUAUCUUAUCCUCAAUCAUGAAAUAUCGAGUCCUAAAAUGUGUGUAAUGUUGAAUGAUAAACAAUGUCUGUCAAAUUAUUUCAACGUAAAAAUUCAAGUUUAUGCUGUACUGUGUGUUAAGAUGAUGCAAUGUUGGAGCUGUACGUAAACUUUGUAAGUUGUAUCAAUUUGUUGUAAUUAUAAGUUGAUCUUAAA